rnacentral:rRNA from 1 species
UACGGAGGUCUCAAGCGUUGUUCGGAUUUAUUGGGCGUAAAGGGUGCGUAGGUGGUGAUGCAAGUCUGGUGUGAAAUCUCGGAGCUCAACUCCGAAAUUGCACCGGAUACUGCGUGACUCGAGGACUGUAGAGGAGAUCGGAAUUCACGGUGUAGCAGUGAAAUGCGUAGAUAUCGUGAGGAAGACCAGUUGCGAAGGCGGAUCUCUGGGCAGUUCCUGACACUGAGGCACGAAGGCCAGGGGAGCAAACGGG